UAUGCGCUGAGUUCCUGGUAGAACCAGGAAGCGGGGGAACCAGUAUUUGGGGGUGAAUCUCCGGCCGUUACGUGCCGGGGUAGGGCUAGUUUCCGGCCCGAACCCGUCAGCUAACCUCGUAAGCGGUGGGAAA
rnacentral:sRNA from 1 species